UUCAUAGUGACCACUGACCAUGUCAAUGCUUGGAUUAAUUAAUAUAGAGGUGUAUUAUUGUAUUAUUCGACAUUUAAAUUUGAUUUCUUUAAUAAAAUAAUAAUGUCAAUAAUUCACAACAUGAAAAAUGAAAAAUUACU